AUGCCCCACUCGAUUCUGUGGUUGAUCAGUGCCCCCAGGCGCCGAACACAAACGCUCAUCGGAGCCCUUGCAAAAGGUGUUGGUUGGUCGAGACAGCAAGGUGGUGGCCAUGGAAGUUGGAAUCCGCGAAGGAGUGUAAUGACUUCACUGCCGUAUCAACUGGCCCUGGAAAUGGAUGGCGCUCCAGCUUCUGAGGUCGCUGUGUCCUGCAAAUUCAACAGACAUUUGAUAUCAGCGGCAAGAUCCCUUUGCAACAAUUUAUAUCGUUGGUGCUGCCCAAGCAGUCUCCUUGGCUAUUUGGCACAAUCCUGGAUGGGUCACUACUCUGACACAGGAUACCAGCAAGCUGGCACUCAUUUUGCCAACCUCAGAAGGAUGACGAGCAGAGUCAACCCCACCUGGUAUUAAUUCAACUGCUGAACGGGAUUUGAACUCAGGAUCCUGGGAUCCCAAGCCGACCACCCGAACCAUUAAGCAAACACCAGGCAUGUCCUUGUAAUGUUCUUGUAAUUCAUUUAAAAGUAGACUGAGGUGUACAAAUGUCUCUGGAGGAAUUUAAGAACCAGCUCCAGCAUGAGCUGAGAUCAAUUAAUUUAUUUCUGAUUUUUUUUUUUUCUUUCAUCAAUGAAGGAAAUAAAUAUUAGACAUACUUAAGAAAAACAAGCCUCGGAUGAAAAUAUAAAACAGCCAAUUAUGACCAGAAGACAGAAACAGAGAAACAGUUGACCAAUGACCAAGUUCUAUCGAGCCAGCUAUGUCAGGGAAGAUAAUGAACAGUCAGUCGAUCAAGUCUUGAAUGGAUGCAAAAGAAUGCUGAUCAAUCCACAAUUAUUCCUGCAGUUGGCAAGAAACAGCCCUUUUCCGAUUCACAGCAGCUAAUGCCGAUAUCGAUGGCUUCAGAUUCCACAGCGUCAACCAGGGGCACGUGGGACCCCAGGUGAUGGUUUUUGGUUAUGAGACAUAUACCAUGUUGCUCUGGACUGUGGUCUUGCAUC
rnacentral:lncRNA from 1 species